CGCUGGCGGCGUGCCUAAUACAUGCAAGUCGAAUUAGUUCUGAUUAUUGAAAGGUGCUUGCAUCUUGAUUUAAUUUUGAACGAGUGGCGGACGGGUGAGUAACACGUGGGUAACCUGCCCUUAAGUGGGGGAUAACAUUUGGAAAUAGAUGCUAAUACCGCAUAAAUCCAAGAACCGCAUGGUUCUUGGCUGGAAGAUGGCGUAAGCUAUCGCUUUUGGAUGGACCCGCGGCGUAUUAGCUAGUUGGUGAGGUAACGGCUCACCAAGGCAAUGAUACGUAGCCGAACUGAGAGGUUGAUCGGCCACAUUGGGACUGAGACACGGCCCAAACUCCUACGGGAGGCAGCAGUAGGGAAUCUUCCACAAUGGACGCAAGUCUGAUGGAGCAACGCCGCGUGAGUGAAGAAGGCUUUCGGGUCGUAAAACUCUGUUGUUGGAGAAGAAUGGUCGGCAGAGUAACUGUUGUCGGCGUGACGGUAUCCAACCAGAAAGCCACGGCUAACUACGUGCCAGCAGCCGCGGUAAUACGUAGGUGGCAAGCGUUAUCCGGAUUUAUUGGGCGUAAAGCGAGCGCAGGCGGUUUUUUAAGUCUGAUGUGAAAGCCCUCGGCUUAACCGAGGAAGUGCAUCGGAAACUGGGAAACUUGAGUGCAGAAGAGGACAGUGGAACUCCAUGUGUAGCGGUGAAAUGCGUAGAUAUAUGGAAGAACACCAGUGGCGAAGGCGGCUGUCUGGUCUGUAACUGACGCUGAGGCUCGAAAGCAUGGGUAGCGAACAGGAUUAGAUACCCUGGUAGUCCAUGCCGUAAACGAUGAAUGCUAGGUGUUGGAGGGUUUCCGCCCUUCAGUGCCGCAGCUAACGCAUUAAGCAUUCCGCCUGGGGAGUACGACCGCAAGGUUGAAACUCAAAGGAAUUGACGGGGGCCCGCACAAGCGGUGGAGCAUGUGGUUUAAUUCGAAGCAACGCGAAGAACCUUACCAGGUCUUGACAUCUUUUGAUCACCUGAGAGAUCAGGUUUCUCCUUCGGGGGCAAAAUGACAGGUGGUGCAUGGUUGUCGUCAGCUCGUGUCGUGAGAUGUUGGGUUAAGUCCCGCAACGAGCGCAACCCUUAUGACUAGUUGCCAGCAUUUAGUUGGGCACUCUAGUAAGACUGCCGGUGACAAACCGGAGGAAGGUGGGGAUGACGUCAAAUCAUCAUGCCCCUUAUGACCUGGGCUACACACGUGCUACAAUGGAUGGUACAACGAGUUGCGAGACCGCGAGGUCAAGCUAAUCUCUUAAAGCCAUUCUCAGUUCGGACUGUGGGCUGCAACUCGCCUACACGAAGUCGGAAUCGCUAGUAAUCGCGGAUCAGCACGCCGCGGUGAAUACGUUCCCGGGCCUUGUACACACCGCCCGUCACACCAUGAGAGUUUGUAACACCCGAAGCCGGUGACGUAACCCUUUUAGGGAGCGAGCCGUCUAAGGUGGGAC
rnacentral:rRNA from 1 species